AUUGAACGCUGGCGGCAGGCCUAACACAUGCAAGUCGAGCGAGCGGCGGACGGGUGAGUAAUGUAUGGGGAUCUGCCCGAUAGAGGGGGAUAACUACUGGAAAGAGUGGCUAAUACCGCAUACUAUCGGAGCGGCCGAUAUGGGAUUAGCUAGUGGGUGGGGUAAAGGCUCACCAAGGCAACGAUCCGUAGCUGGUUUGAGAGGAUGACCAGCCACACUGGGACUGAGACACGGCCCAGACUCCUACGGGAGGCAGCAGUGGGGAAUUUUGGACAAUGGGGGAAACCCUGAUCCAGCCAUCCCGCGUGUAUGAAGAAGGCCUUCGGGUUGUAAAGUACUUUUGGUCGGGAAGCGGUAUCUGCAGAAGAAGCACCGGCUAACUCCGUGCCAGCCGCCGCGGUAAUUC
rnacentral:rRNA from 1 species